UCCCUGGUUGAUCCUGCCAGUAGUCAUAUGCUUGUCUCAAAGAUUAAGCCAUGCAUGUCUCAGUGCAAGCCGCAUUAAGGUGAAACCGCGAAAGGCUCAUUAAAUCAGUUGUGGUUCCUUAGAUCGUACCCAAGUUACUUGGAUAACUGUGGUAAUUCUAGAGCUAAUACAUGCCGACAGAGUUCCGACCGUCGCGGCGCCCUCGGGCGUCGCUCGCGGGAGGAACGCUUUUAUUAGAUCAAAACCGGCCCGUCGCGGCGCGCUUCGUGCGCGUCCCGAUCGCGGCCCGCGCAAAGACCUGGUGACUCUGAAUAACUUCGAGCUGAUCGCACGGUCUCCGUACCGGCGACGCAUCUUUCAAAUGUCUGCCUUAUCAACUGUCGAUGGUAGGUUCCAUGCCUACCAUGGUGGUAACGGGUAACGGGGAAUCAGGGUUCGAUUCCGGAGAGGGAGCCUGAGAAACGGCUACCACAUCCAAGGAAGGCAGCAGGCGCGCAAAUUACCCACUCCCGGAACGGGGAGGUAGUGACGAAAAAUAACGAUACGGGACUCAUCCGAGGCCCCGUAAUCGGAAUGAGAACACUUUAAAACCUUUAAACGAGGAUCAAUUGGAGGGCAAGUCUGGUGCCAGCAGCCGCGGUAAUUCCAGCUCCAAUAGCGUAUAUUAAAGUUGUUGCGGUUAAAAAGCUCGUAGUCGGAUCUGUGUCUGGACGGUGCCGGACCACUCUGGCGGUCCGUCGUGUCGCGGCCGGCCGUGUCGCGGGACCACGUGUCCCGUCGGCGCGGUCGCCGUCGCGCUCGUCAGCCGUCUCGGGGUGUUAGUUACCGGCACGUCGGCCGGACGUAUUGUCGGCAGGCGGACACGUGUCUCGUGCUUCCCGGCGCGCCGCGCGGCCACGCGUCGCGCGGCCGUCGGUGUUCGACGACGGCGGCCGCCUACUCCAAUCUUGCUGCGCGGUGCUCUUCACCGAGUGCCGUCGGCGGGCCGACACGUUUUACUUUUGGAACAAAUUAGAGUGCUCAAAG
rfam:Acyrthosiphon pisum strain LSR1 Contig2295, whole genome shotgun sequence.